rnacentral:rRNA from 1 species
GACGAACGCUGGCGGCGUGCUUAACACAUGCAAGUCGAACGGAAAGGCCCUGCUUUUGUGGGGUGCUCGAGUGGCGAACGGGUGAGUAACACGUGAGUAACCUGCCCUUGACUUUGGGAUAACUUCAGGAAACUGGGGCUAAUACCGGAUAGGAGCUCCUGCUGCAUGGUGGGGGUUGGAAAGUUUCGGCGGUUGGGGAUGGACUCGCGGCUUAUCAGCUUGUUGGUGGGGUAGUGGCUUACCAAGGCUUUGACGGGUAGCAGGCCUGAGAGGGUGACCGGCCACAUUGGGACUGAGAUACGGCCCAGACUCCUACGGGAGGCAGCAGUGGGGAAUAUCGCACAAUGGGCGGAAGCCUGAUGCAGCAACGCCGCGUGCGGGAUGACGGCCUUCGGGUUGUAAACCGCUUUCGCCUGUGACGAAGCGUGAGUGACGGUAAUGGGUAAAGAAGCACCGGCUAACUACGUGCCAGCAGCCGCCGCCG